AUACGUAGGUGGCAAGCGUUAUCCGGAAUUAUUGGGCGUAAAGAGGGAGCAGGCGGCAGCAAGGGUCUGUGGUGAAAGCCUGAAGCUUAACUUCAGUAAGCCAUAGAAACCAGGCAGCUAGAGUGCAGGAGAGGAUCGUGGAAUCCCAUGUGUAGCGGUGAAAUGCGUAGAUAUAUGGAGGAACACCAGUGGCGAAGGCGACGAUCUGGCCUGCAACUGACGCUCAGUCCCGAAAGCGUGGGGAGCAAAUAGGAUUAGAUACCCUAGUAGUCCACGCCGUAAACGAUGAGUACUAAGUGUUGGAUGUCAAAGUUCAGUGCUGCAGUUAACGCAAUAAGUACUCCGCCUGAGUAGUACGUUCGCAAGAAUGAAACUCAAAGGAAUUGACGGGG
rnacentral:rRNA from 1 species